CUUACAGUCAGUUUGACUUACAAGACCUCCCCCUUUACUUCACUCUACAACAGGGACGGAGAUACAACAAUGUCCUUGAGAUCAACAGGAAGUGUGUUGAUGGCUUUCCUCUGGUCUUUGACAGGAUUUGGGCAUUGUUGAAUACAUCAAACAUAUGGUGGGUGUGGACUUAUGGGACUAGCUGAUCCAAUACUGCACAGUGCACCACAGGAACAGGAUAUGUA